rnacentral:rRNA from 1 species
AUUGAACGCUGGCGGCAGGCCUAAUACAUGCAAGUCGAGCGGAGCGGCGGACGGGUGAGUAAUGCCUAGGAUUCUGCCUGGUAGUGGGGGAUAAAGUCCGGAAACGGGCGCUAAUACCGCAUACUAUCAGAUGAGACUAGGGCGGAUUAGCUAGUUGGUGGGGUAAAGGCCUACCAAGGCGACGAUCCGUAACUGGUCGGAGCGGAUGAUCAGUCACACUGGAACUGGGACACGGUCCAAACUCCUACGGGAGGCAGCAGUGGGGAAUAUUGGACAAUGGGCGAAAGCCUGAUACAGCCAUGCCGCGUGUGUGAAGAAGGUCUUCGGAUUGUAAAGCACUUUAAGUUGGGAGGCGUUACCAACAGAAUAAGCACCGGCUAACUUCGUGCCAGCAGCCGCGGUAAUUC